GUGCCAGCAGCCGCGGUAAUACAGAGGGUGCGAGCGUUAAUCGGAAUUACUGGGCGUAAAGCGUGCGUAGACGGUUUCGUAAGUCGGGUGUGAAAUCCCCGGGCUCAACCUGGGAAUUGCAUUCGAAACUGCGAGGCUAGGGUACGGAAGAGGGAAGCGGAAUUUCUGGUGUAGCGGUGAAAUGCGUAGAUAUCAGAAGGAACAUCAGUGGCGAAAGCGGCUUCCUGGUCCAGUACCGACGUUCAGGCACGAAAGCGUGGGGAGCAAACAGGAUUAGAUACCCUGGUAGUCC
rnacentral:rRNA from 1 species